rnacentral:misc_RNA from 1 species
CAACCUUCGCACCCGGCUCUUGUAGUCGGGGGCGGUGUUGGGGCUCGGCUUCCCGUGUGGGUCGCCGUCCCCGAAAACUAGUGGCAGUCCCGCCGUGGCCUCCCUUGCGUAGUACUAUUCUCGUAGGUGGAAAGCAGCGUGGCCUCGCCAUAAAACCCCAACUUUCUCAUGG